UGCAAGUCGAGCGAAUCGAUGGGAGCUUGCUCCCUGAGAUUAGCGGCGGACGGGUGAGUAACACGUGGGCAACCUGCCUAUAAGACUGGGAUAACUUCGGGAAACCGGAGCUAAUACCGGAUACGUUCUUUUCUCGCAUGAGAGAAGAUGGAAAGACGGUUUACGCUGUCACUUAUAGAUGGGCCCGCGGCGCAUUAGCUAGUUGGUGAGGUAAUGGCUCACCAAGCGACGAUGCGUAGCCGACCUG
rnacentral:rRNA from 1 species